rnacentral:misc_RNA from 1 species
GAUGAAGAACGCAGCGAAAUGCGAUAAGUAAUGUGAAUUGCAGAAUUCAGUGAAUCAUCGAGUCUUUGAACGCACAUUGCGCCCCCUGGUAUUCCGGGGGGCAUGCCUGUCCGAGCGUCAUUGCCGCCCUCAAGCACGGCUUGUGUGUUGGGCCCCCGCCCCCCGGCUUCGGGGGGCGGGCCCGAAAGGCAGCGGCGGCACCGCGUCCGGUCCUCGAGCGUAUGGGGCUUCGUCACCCGCUCUUGUAGGCCCGGCCGGCGCUUGCCGACACAUCAAUCUUUUUUCCAGGUUGACCUCGGAUCAGGUAGGGAUACCCGCUGAACUUAAGCAUAUCAAUAAGCGGAGGA